GCUGAAGCCUGUGUUUUUUUGAAGGAGUAUCUUAACUAUGAGAACCUAAAGUACUUCCUGCCUCUGCAGAUAGAGGACUAAUUUUCUGACUCUCUUGUUAACAUUAAAGGCAAAUACUGGCUGGGUGAAGAGGUGUGUCGAGUAACUUUGUGGCUGCAGGUGAACAUGGUCUUUAUGGUGGUAGUCCAGGUGAAAAGAGGCCUGGAGCUAAUCAGCUGUUUUUAAACUGGAAGGCUGUAGCACUUAUUUUAGCACAAUCUGAAGGAGCUCAGAGAUUUUCAGAUGUCCUUGUCAAAAGCUGCUAUUGCUAUUGUCGACUCCUAAAAGCAUCUGGAAUAACUUUCGAAGUGAAAAUAUGUCAAGAGACUGCUGAGCUCUUCAGCCCUGCUGAGUAGCUGUAUUACAUCAGUACCCAUAGAUCUCUUUCCCAUUUGAGUAGGUCAUUUAUAUCUUGUAACGUCAGAAAGCCUGUCCAUCUAGGAAACAAAGGCUGCAUAAAAAUAAAAAAGAUUACCUGACUUCUUGCAAGUUGAUUUUGGAGGCCUUUGGUAUGUGGGAAUAUAUAGUAUGUCAUGUAGUUUAACUGGGAGACUCUCUAUCCCUCGUUGCCCAAAGUAUGUUUUUAUUCCAGCUACUCUCAGAUUCUCUACAAAGCACUGAAAUGCACAGAUGUUGCAUUACUUGGGCUGCUGAAAGUGACAAGGUGUGGAUUUAUGUUGUGAUUGCUGUUACACUUCACAGAAGCAAAAUGUCAGUGUCUAAUAUGUGGGUAUUGAAUCAUGGCAGUGGCGAAUUUAUUUCCUUGUAGCUGCUCUUGCAUUCUUUCUGUUAGUACCUAGUACACUGCAAAAAAUGCUGGAAGGCAGAAGUUGUGCCAGAACACUUCUCUGCUACUUGAAGGUUUUGUUACACUGUACAUUCAGGAGAACAUAUCCACAGUCACUCUUUUUAUUUUGAUGUAUUUGUUGUAACCCAGCCAUGUGUAAUAGUGAACUUCUGGAAGGUUGGGCUGCUGAAAUGCUUCCACAUUCCAGCUGAUUAGGACAAUUAAAAGAAAUAUGUGUAUUAAUGUGACUGUUACUGCAUCUAUUUCAUACUAUUUCUAUUAAAUGUUGACCCUGCUCUGAAGGUAUUAAGUGUGAUAAGAGCUGUUUGAUUGAGU